rnacentral:rRNA from 1 species
AUUGUUCGCAAUGGGCGCAAGCCUGACGACGCAACGUCGCGUGGAGGACGAAGAUCUUCGGGUCGUAAACUCCUGUCGAGCGGGAAGAACGUUUCGCGGAUGAAUAAGCCGCGGAAGUGACGGUACCGCUAAAGGAAGCCCCGGCUAACUACGUGCCAGCAGCCGCGGUAAUACGUAGGGUGCGAGCGUUAAUCGGAAUUACUGGGCGUAAAGUGUGCGCAGGCGGCCAUGCAAGUCGAGUGUGAAAGCCCCGGGCUUAACUUGGGAAUUGCGCUCGAAACUACGUGGCUGGAGUGUGGCAGAGGAAGGUGGAAUUCCACGUGUAGCGGUGAAAUGCGUAGAGAUGUGGAGGAACACCAAUGGCGAAGGCAGCCUUCUGGGCCAACACUGACGCUCAUGCACGAAAGCGUGGGGAGCAAAC